GGGCAGCCGCGGGCCGAGCGGGACGCCGAGCUGGAGCUGGGCGGACGCGGCGGGCGGCGGCGGGACUGAGGCUGCGGCUUUCCAAACGGAAGCGGAAUUAUUCCAAGCAUUUGAGGCAGCUCACGCUCGCCUUUCCCUUCCCUCGCUCCCUCCCUCGCGCCGCCCUCCGCCCUGGAAGGAGCUGUGCGCUGGGGCCCGCACCCCGGCCCGGCCUGCGCCCCUAGGCUGGCCGAGGAUCCCCUGAAUCUGCCCCAUGCCGCAGGACAUGUGGCCUUAUCAGUUUGGGUGUAUGUGUAACUCUCCUGGCUGGAAGUGCUGGAACCUAGAAGACUGCACCCAGCACACAUCCUAGCACAAACCAGGAUCUGAACCAAACCAACUCUGUUACUCUGUCUCCCAGCUGCUUGGAGGCGCUUGUUUGCUUCUUAUAAAAUUAGCCCAAGUCUUGACUUAAUGAAACAAAGCCAGCUAGGUCCUGGAGAAAUAUCUGGAGUGGACCAAAAUGUGUUUGGGCCCCAUCAAACUGGGCAUCACCAGUGUUACCUGGAUUUAUCCAGGGCCAUCAUCCUUCUCUUCUCCCAUCCAAGAGAAGUUGGAAGUACAUGAAGAUUGCUGAUAUCUGCAUGCAGGGCUUAGGUCCUAAAUAUGGCAUAAUCAAGAUUAUCCACGGAGAUCCCUUAAGUUGCUCACCAGUGCUCUUAUGUAUACAACUUUCCUGGCUAAUUGUUAUGAUUUUCACUAAACUUUGAAAACCACAGAGAAAAACUGAAAGGAAGAACAGAGUGUUGACUGUUGAAACCUGGCUCCCAGAAAAUAACCUGUAAAACAAGCUGUGGAGAAGGCUAAGCUGUACUUCCUGUGCACAGUGAUAAGGGGAGAUCCUCCUUGUCAGACUACACAGCAACCAGAAAGGAAGACAAAUUGGGAUAUGCAUCAGGUUUCAAAACUGGCCUUGCAAUGGGUUUGGCCAAGGAUCAUGAUAAGAUUGUUUAGGAUCAGUGGACACAAGGUGAAGCUUUCAAAGAGUCUUAGAGAGUAAACAGUCGUUUUAAUGGUAUCUAUUGAAAAGUUUAUGGAUUUUAUGUUGAUUUCAGUGAGAACUGGGGGGAAGUUCUUAACAAUCAAAUUAUUUGCAAAUUUUAUCUCUCUGGUCAAGAGGUUUUUGGAAUAAAGACAGAGGAAUGAUAAAGUCUAUAAAUGUAGGCAGUAAACUCCACGGAUGUUAGUGGUUUCCCAGGUCUCAAUAUUAUGCAUAUAUCUUGCUUUCUAAAACAUUUCUGCCUCUAAGAUAAUUAUUAAUCUCUUGAAAGGCUGAUGGGGAAUGGAUGGUGAAUUGUAAAUCUGUUUUAUUUGAAGUGCAGUCCAUAAACCAAUGUUGAUCCAGAUCCUGUUAUUGGUCUGCAAAUAUAUAAAUACAGAAAUUGUGGUUUUAGAAACUUUGAGAGCAACUUAACAAUGCAAUUCUAUGUCUGUUUAAUCUAAGAAUUUAAAACUGGAAGCUUACAUUCUGAAAAUCUUCAUUUUAUUUUCUAAUAAUCCUUUUUUUAUGGCAUUUUACAAAAAUAUUUGUUUUUGCCAGAUUGGACCUUUACCAUACAUCCUUUGACAUGCACUGUUCUAAGUUGCUCCUGUUUGCUUAGAGUUCUUAUACUCUCUUUGGACAUAUGCUUUUAGAAUCUUUAUGGAUAUGAUUUGAUGUGGGUUUGGUGCAGAAGAUAAAGUGAAAUAAUACAUGGCAAAGUGCCUUACCCAGGGCCUGGUACCAAA